rnacentral:lncRNA from 1 species
UUUUUUUUAAUCUGUAAAUGUAAAAUUUUAUUAAUCAAAAUUCUUGUACAAGUACAUUGGGCAUACUUAGGCAAUUAGACAACGAGUAAAAUACAACUACCUCGGACAUACCCGAGCAAACAAAAGAAAAGAUGUACAAAUGAUAGGAACUAUAAUCCCAAAGCCAAAGACAAAAUAAAUCAACACGUGCGGGCAUAAAGUAAACAUAACUUUGUACACGUGUGUUUUAAUUCGCCUUACUAUCCUAUCCACGUGCGGACUAAGUUCGUCAAAAACCUUCCUAUUCCGUGCCAUACAAAAAUGGUAAACAAUACUUGCAAUCGCAAUUCUUUUAGAUUUACUUUACCAAGACGUCCCUCGGGCCUCUUUCUUGAUUCACUAAAAAGAACUAGGAAUUAUAGUCAUCGAUCUCUUAAUCUCCAUCCAAGUUUUGAUCUUCAUCCAUAUGCUAGAGGUGAAUGAACAUUUAAAAAAUAAAUGCUGUCCAUUUUCAAAAUGUGACUCACAAAAAACACAUUUCAUAUCAAUUUUAAGUUAUGGCAACCUAACUUUUGUGAGUAGCUUUGAUUGGGCACCAACCAUAGCAUAAAAAGCAUAUUUUGGAGUGAUAAAAUGUCUCCAAACCUCUGUUGUUCAGCCCCUUAUCUCACCCUUUUCGGCUGAAAGAAAUCACGGGCUGCCUGGACAGAAAACGCUCCAGCAUAUAUCCAAUUUAAGAGCACAUUUCCAGCAAUUUGGUCAUUUCUUGUUGGGGAAUACAUUGAUUAUGUGCAUAUUAUAUUCAUAAAAAUAUACCGUUUAUUUGCGUGAAAUCGAAACGUAAUUUCGACUUACCAAAAUAAAAUUUAGAAGCAAAACAAUAAUAGUUACCAAAUCCGAUGCAUGAAUAUGGAUUCAUCUUUUUCGAU